GAUGAAGAACGUAGCGAAAUGCGAUAAUUAAUGUGAAUUGCAGAAUUCCGUGAAUCAUCGAGUUUUUGAACGCAUAUUGCGCCCCUUGGUAUUCCGAGGGGCAUGCCUGUCCGAGCGUCAUUGCAACCCUUCAAGCACGGCUUGUGUGUUGGACGGCCGCCCCAGUGUGGGCGGGUCCCAAAUGCAGUGGCGGUGCCGCGAUCCGGGUGCUCGAGUGCAUGGAAACCACGCGCUCGUUAGGCCCCGUCGGGCGCCGGCCGACCUAAUUAUCUUCGUUCUGGUUGACCUCGGAUCAGGUAGGAAUACCCGCUGAACUUAAGCAUAUCAAUAAGCGGAGGA
rnacentral:misc_RNA from 1 species